rnacentral:rRNA from 1 species
UACGAAGGGGACUAGCGUUGUUCGGAAUCACUGGGCGUAAAGCGCACGUAGGCGGAUGUGUCAGUCAGGGGUGAAAUCCUGGGGCUCAACCCCAGAACUGCCUUUGAUACUGGCGAUCUCGAGUCCGGAAGAGGUGAGUGGAACUCCUAGUGUAGAGGUGGAAUUCGUAGAUAUUAGGAAGAACACCAGUGGCGAAGGCGGCUCACUGGUCCGGUACUGACGCUGAGGUGCGAAAGCGUGGGGAGCAAACAGG